rnacentral:rRNA from 1 species
UCCUACGGGAGGCAGCAGUAGGGAAUUUUCGUCAAUGGGCGCAAGCCUGAACGAGCAAUGCCGCGUGAACGAGGAAGGUCUUCGGAUCGUAAAGUUCUGCUGCAGGGGAAAAAGAGCGGAGAGAGGAAAUGGUCUCCGAUUGAUAUUACCCUUCGAGGAAGUCACGGCUAACUACGUGCCAGCAGCCGCGGUAAUACGUAGGUGGCGAGCGUUAUCCGGAAUGAUUGGGCGUAAAGGGUGCGUAGGCGGCCUGCUAAGUCUGGAGUGAAAGGUACCGGCUCAACCGGUACAGGCUCUGGAAACUG